AUAAUUUAUAGCAACAAUGAGGACUUGUUUAAGAUUGAACAGAAGUAUGUAAUUAGUUUUAUUUUGUAAGAGUAAAUGGUAUCAGAAGUUGUACGAUAUUUUGGUCUUAAUUUUAACACGUUAUUACAUUGUGUGAAGUUGAAGUGAGAAAUGUAUAGAUUUCCCAAUGAUAAUAUUUUUUAAUUAUUGACCAUAAAUUAGUAAAUUAUACAUUU